UCCCUGGUGGCUCAGUGGUAAAGAAUCUGCCUGCCAAUGCAGGUGACACGGGUUCCAUCCCUGACCCGGGAA
rnacentral:tRNA from 1 species